UACGUAGGGUGCAAGCGUUAAUCGGAAUACUGGGCGUAAAGCGUGCGCAGGCGGUUUUGUAAGUCUGACGUGAAAUCCCCGGGCUUAACCUGGGAAUUGCGUUGGAGACUGCAAGGCUGGAGUCUGGCAGAGGGGGGGUAGAAUUCCACGUGUAGCAGUGAAAUGCGUAGAGAUGUGGAGGAACACCGAUGGCGAAGGCAGCCCCCUGGGUCAAGACUGACGCUCAUGCACGAAAGCGUGGGGAGCAAACGAGGAUUACGAA
rnacentral:rRNA from 1 species